GGAUGUCUCCCAAGACAAGGAUGUCACGGUCGGCACAAGGUUGUUCCCAGUUCUGAGUGUGAUGAAGGUGUCAGUUGUGUAUCUAAGCUUCGAGUCAGGAGCUAUGCCCAAGCUACAAACACUCACCCUGGUUUCAGCUGGAAAGAUUGAAGAGGCGCUACAUCAAUCUGGCUCACGAUGAAUUCUGUCGCCACUCUGCUGUCAUAAUCAACAUUUGCACUGUUUAUUUGAUUUCUUUUCUUGAGCUGUAAAACUGAUGCAACUAAAGCAGACAGAGUUUGGAAAUGUUUGGGCCUAGUAGUAGCAACAAUCUAUCGGAAAACAGCGCAUCCAGCCAAUGAGUAGAACUACAAUGCUACCAGGCUGUAAUCAGAAAUGCUGCUGUUUUUCUUUUUCCUUUUACCUGAAGCCAGCCUGCUUCGAUGCUGGUAACAUAACCUUGUCAAUGGAUGUGGGUGCUAACUGAACACCAGCUUCACCAACACACCAGCCUAGCUAUAUGAUGCCGAGGUUCUAUUUCUUUGAUUUUUGGGUCUUUAACAUUCUGGUUUGAAAUAAGCUUGUACAAACUGGAAAUCAUACAGAUCAGAACAUGGCUUGGUAAGAAAUAAGCUUUGGACCGGAGAUGACUAGGAAAGUGAAACGCCUAGUUAAAUCACACAUAACUGGUAGUACAUGGCUGGCUCCCACCUCAACUAAUCCUAAGUUGAAAGGAGUACCUGCAGCAGCUUAUCAGCAGGUAACAUUCUCGAUUUCAAUUUCGAAUUACCCACUUAAAAGAUAAAAACAACAGCUGGUAUCCUAAAAGUUCAGAGCAGUUCAUCUAUAUAUCCUUUUGGGGUUAGGCAACGACAGCAGCCGUCUCUCCUUCUACUUGGCUCGACUGCUUCUGGCAAGGAAAACACCAGUGCCAGUGUGCCAGAUGAUGAUGCCUAGAAUGCCACGAGCUGCGCUGCUCCUUUUGAGGGAGCACAUCAAGCCCAAAAAAAAAAAGAAAGAAGAGAUAAAUGCCAACAAUGGCAGCUCGACAAAGCACAAAUGACUCGCCACUGCUGCGCCCUCCGGAUUCUUCCCACCACGCACCGAGGCUCCGAACCUCCACGUACCAAGCAGCACCUCCAAGAAGGGAUGCAACGUUGACGACGCUGCUACCCGAACAUAUCCUAGGGUUUCCCCCGGCACGCGAAAGGGAGUGGGGAUGGGCAACACCGACGCCCUUCAGGAAGGAAAGGCGUCACCCGCGAGCGAUACCGCGUCGGAGCCGGAUCAACCGGUAGGGAUUUCUCCCGCAUCCCAAACACUACUACCUGCCUAUCCGGAGCCAACCAUCCAACUUGCCACCCGCUAGCAUACGCCACCAUGGUCUUGAAGUCAUCCAUGCCGCCUCACUGAGAUCGCAUCACGAGGCCUAAAGGAUAGAGAGAGGGACGCCAGGAAACGGGAGGGGCAGCAUCGGAGCUGAGCCGGAGAGAAGCACCUCCCCCGCUGUCGUGUGGGAUGCCUGUGCUUCCCGCACCGUCGCGGUGGCCGGCCGGACGCGGCAGCAGGGGCACACCAGGCCACCCGGGCCCGUCCGAGCCCAUCUCGGGCCCGCAAAGUCGCUGCCACCCCGCUGCAGCCAGUCGGCAGCGACGCCGCCGCCACCCAGCUUCCCUACGCCCCAUCCCCGCCUCCGAAGAAGAAGCCGCCGGCCCGCCCCAACCCAGAUGGGGCCCGAGAGGGCCCAGAUCUGGCCGAGCGGGCGCCGCCACCCCGCAGCCGCGAAGAUCCGCCGCUAACAAUGGCGCCGCCGCGCAAUCAACCCCCCGGCACAAGUGCCAGGUCACCCUGUCGCCGCGCCGAACCACUGUGCCCUGGGGACACCGCCCAACGUCGCUCCGCCCCGCGUAGGAACGUCACCGGGAGGGGAAAAGCAGCGCGCCGCCGCCGGCGGCGCCACCUGGGCCGAGUCGGACGACGCACGUCGGCGACGGAGGGAGGAGGGAGAGUGGGGGCGGUGGUUGGGGAAGAAGGCAGGGGAGCGUGGCCCGGCCGCCCGCGGGGGACGGCGCGGUCGCGAGAGCUCUACGGGAAAGUUAAUUCUGUCACCACAAACUUAUCUAUUAGG
rnacentral:lncRNA from 1 species